AACGAACGCUGGCGGCAUGCCUAACACAUGCAAGUCGAACGAGACCUUCGGGUCUAGUGGCGCACGGGUGCGUAACGCGUGGGAACCUGCCCUUAGGUUCGGAAUCACUCCCCGAAAGGGGUGCUAAUACCGGUUAAUGUCUUCGGACCAAAGAUUUAUCGCCUUUGGAUGGGCCCGCGUUGGAUUAGCUAGUUGGUAGGGUAAAAGCCUACCAAGGCGACGAUCCAUAGCUGGUCUGAGAGGAUGAUCAGCCACACUGGGACUGAGACACGGCCCAGACUCCUACGGGAGGCAGCAGUGGGGAAUAUUGGACGAUGGGCGAAAGCCUGAUCCAGCAAUGCCGCGUGAGUGAUGAAGGCCUUAGGGUUGUAAAGCUCUUUUACCCGGGAUGAUAAUGACAGUACCGGGAGAAUAAGCUCCGGCUAACUCCGUG
rnacentral:rRNA from 1 species